AAAACGACUCUCGGUAACGGAUAUCUCGGCUCUCGCAUCGAUGAAGAACGUAGCGAAAUGCGAUACUUGGUGUGAAUUGCAGAAUCCCGUGAACCAUCGAGUCUUUGAACGCAAGUUGCGCCCCAAGCCGUUAGGCCGAGGGCACGCCUGCCUGGGUGUCAC
rnacentral:rRNA from 1 species